rnacentral:lncRNA from 1 species
AUGGGGACCGGCAUGGCAAUGGGGACGGGGAUGGCAAUGGGGACGGGGAUGGCAAUGGGGACGGGGAUGGCAAUGGGGACGGGGAUGGCAAUGGGGACGGGGAUGGCAAUGGGGACGGGGAUGGCAAUGGGGACGGGGAUGGCAAUGGGGACGGGGAUGGCAAUGGGGACGGGGAUGGCAAUGGGGACGGGGAUGGCAAUGGGGACGGGGAUGGCAAUGGGGACGGGGAUGGCAAUGGGGACGGGGAUGGCAAUGGGGACGGGGAUGGCAAUGGGGACGGGGAUGGCAAUGGGGACGGGGAUGGCAAUGGGGACGGGGAUGGCAAUGGGGACGGGGAUGGCAAUGGGGACGGGGAUGGCAAUGGGGACGGGGAUGGCAAUGGGGACGGGGAUGGCAAUGGGGACGGGGAUGGCAAUGGGGACGGGGAUGGCAAUGGGGACGGGGAUGGCAAUGGGGACGGGGAUGGCAAUGGGGACGGGGAUGGCAAUGGGGACGGGGAUGGCAAUGGGGACGGGGAUGGCAAUGGGGACGGGGAUGGCAAUGGGGACGGGGAUGGCAAUGGGGACGGGGAUGGCAAUGGGGACGGGGAUGGCAAUGGGGACGGGGAUGGCAAUGGGGACGGGGAUGGCAAUGGGGACGGGGAUGGCAAUGGGGACGGGGAUGGCAAUGGGGACGGGGAUGGCAAUGGGGACGGGGAUGGCAAUGGGGACGGGGAUGGCAAUGGGGACGGGGAUGGCAAUGGGGACGGGGAUGGCAAUGGGGACGGGGAUGGCAAUGGGGACGGGGAUGGCAAUGGGGACGGGGAUGGCAAUGGGGACGGGGAUGGCAAUGGGGACGGGGAUGGCAAUGGGGACGGGGAUGGCAAUGGGGACGGGGAUGGCAAUGGGGACGGGGAUGGCAAUGGGGACGGGGAUGGCAAUGGGGACGGGGAUGGCAAUGGGGACGGGGAUGGCAAUGGGGACGGGGAUGGCAAUGGGGACGGGGAUGGCAAUGGGGACGGGGAUGGCAAUGGGGACGGGGAUUGCAGUGGGGACGGGGAUUGCAGUGGGGACGGGGAUGGCAAUGGGGGGGGGGGGGGGGGGGGGGGGGGGGGGGGGGGGGGGGGGGGGGGGGGGGGGGGGGGGG